GGUCCUGUGGUCUAGUGGUUAGGACAUCAGACUCUGACGGCCGCAUCCCGAACAGGAUCCGGAAUCCAGAUGGAUCUGGUAACCCGAGUUCAAGUCUCGGCAGGACCU
rfam:Gonium pectorale scaffold00016, whole genome shotgun sequence.